rnacentral:sRNA from 1 species
GAGUUAAGCUUACCACAAGAGGAACCAACGAAGAUCUUUGUGGACAACAAGUCGGCAAUAGCUUUGGCGAAGAACCCGGUCUUCCAUGAUCGAAGUAAACACAUUGACACACGCUAUCACUACAUUAGAGAGUGUGUUAGCAAGAAGGACGUGCAAUUAGAGUAUGUGAAGACACAUGAUCAAGUAGCCGAUAUUUUUACCAAGCCUCUCAAGCGUGAAGACUUUAUCAAGAUGAGGAGUUUGCUUGGAGUAGCAAAAUCAAGUUUAAGAGGGGGUGUUGAAAGUUAAACUUGAUUUUGAAUCAAGUUUAAUUAUUGGAUCAAUUAUCCAAUAAUUAAUUAUGGCCAAAUCCAAGUUCUAGAGUUUUCUCUAGAAAUAUCAUCAUUUCCACCUCCUUAAAGGAUUCUAGAAAUUUUCUAGAAUCAUCUUCCACCUCCUUAAACAUAAAAAUCUAGAUACUCUAAUAGAAUAAUCUAGAUAAUUUGAAUAAUGUAAUCUAGAUCUUAUGUAAGAACUCUCUAGACUUAGGAUUAAAAUAUUUUAGAUAUUUUGUAGUUUGGAGGCUAUAAAUACCUCCUCCCCCUCUCAAAUGUUGUAAUGUUGUGAAGUUGUAUUCAAGUUUAAAGCAAAGUAAUAAAAGUUCUAUUUCCUAAAAAACUCUCUCAAAACACUUAAACACUUUCUCCAUUACCUCUAAAAGAAUUUUACUCUAACAGCUCUUCCUGUUCUUAGAAACUCUGGUGCGAUAUACCCGAAUGUUCCUGCAACUCUCGAUGUCUGAGGAUCAAAUCCCUGAUCAUACAGCUUCGCCAGUCCGAAAUCCCCGAGCCUCGCAUUCAUGUCGUGGUCGAUUAGAACAUUAGCCGGUUU